GAACCAAGGGAAAUUUAUUUUCAGAACGGGACAGAAAGCAUCCGCAGUAUUAGUUGGUAAGGAAGAGAAAACAUAAGUUCUGAAGGUUAGAGAGAAGAGACAGUCCAAUGAAACUUCUGCAGAGGUGAGGGGACAGGAGCUCAGGUCGAGGUGUGUUUCUGAAGGGACUCGGAGAUGUGAGAGAACUCACUAAGGAAAGGUGAUGAUGGAUGAGGCAUGGGGUGAGCUCAUCUGAACCAAGAGUUGCCUCACAGCAAAUGAGAUCUUCUGAUGAGUUGGGAUUUUCCACAGUCCCAACUACAGCACAUUCAGGGUCUUAUGGAAUCUUUCUCAUCGGGACUUCCUGGGAAGAUGGGAACAAAUGCCUAUUCACGUCAGAUAGGGCCCGGAUGACAGACAAGAGAGACCAUUGGAGCUGGCAGGGGCCUUCUUUUGUUUGCAUCACAUAAAGUUUACAGAACAAUUUGAACACUACACCGGACCUAUGGGAAGUGGAGAAGACAUAGUUAUUUCCAUUCAACGCACAAGCAAAGUGGAAAGAUGCUCAAGAAGUGUUUAGGGGACUGAUGUCAUACAGAAGAGUCCAGCUUCUCAGUCCACGGGCUGGCAGAGCACUUUAUAACAAGAUGGUUCAUCAUGUCAACCCCACCCAGCAGCACAAGCUUCUGGUGGUCUGCGUGAGGACCUGUCACCAGAACAUACAGCCAAGUUAAGACUGACCAUUCUUCACAGUGGGAAAAGACGUUGGGAGGCAAUAGGGACAAACGGGUGUGCGGCUCAGGGGAGAGACAGAGGCAGGAAGGGAGAUGGGAAGUACAAGCAUAGAGGUGUUGAGUAGUCUUCAUUUAUUAGACCUCAGCACCUCUCGCUCACCCCAGAGGGCAGUGGGAGCAAUGCCUGCAUGCCCGAUACAUUCCCAAUGCCUCUGAACGUCAGCUCAGAGGAUAGAGCUCACUGUGAAAACCAGCUGCCAGGCUGCUGUCUCCAGGUCUCCCUGGCUCUGCAGUCCCUGUCCUCUCGGAAAUACUGAGCUCAGGAGGAAGGAAUUCCCUCGGUACCUCUGUUGUUCCCUUCUCUUGUUUCCUAAGAGAACCUAGUAUUUCAGUGACUGCUUCCAAAGAGCUCCACUUGGAUGCCAGUAUCCUGCCAGAAAUUCUUCUGCACGUACCUUUAAUCAUGUGGCAAAUUGCCUUAUUAAUCACCAGGGACUCCAGUCUCAUUACUUAAUUAAACCAUCUCUUCUUGUGCUUCUUAUUAAAACCACGCGAGUUUUUAA
rnacentral:lncRNA from 1 species